GUGAUCAAUGAUGACUCCUGGUGGCAUAUGAGUCAUUUACGAUGAAUACGUGUCUGGAACUUUGAGGUCCAA
ensembl:snoRNA